AUUACACCCCUGUCCGCCGCGCUCCGAUUCUCAUCUCCUCAAAACACCACUCUCCCUUCCCUCCACCACAAAUCCCUCGCCUCCAAAUCCGCCUACGAUUUCAACACUCUUGGACCCACUCGGUGCUCCCACCACUGGCCCCACCCUCGGCAUUUCUCUUCCAACAGAGAAGAAGACUGGAGAAGACACCGAAGAUACGGCAACGAAGAAAUGGGCAAGAGUACCGAGGAUGAUAUCGCUGGGAGAGCUUCCGCAUUAAAUUUGAAGACAGAGUUCCCGGCGGAGGAGAGAGAAGCGGAAUCGAAGGCGAUGGUUUACAAAGUAGUGCGCCCUCUUGAACGAUCCAAUCGGGGUAAUAUUUGCAGAUUGGAUCGCAGCAGUCCCAGCUGAGCAAUGGCAAUAGCAUUUUCCCCGAGAGAUAGAAGUUCUGCGAGUUGAAUGACAAGCCAGACCAUUAUUGCAGGCCAUUGUACCAGAUGCAGCUGUUCAUGCAGUCUUUGAAGAGCACGUGAGUGUGAAACUAAUCUUUGCUCUCUCUGACCUCUGACCUCUGUCUCUGUGUGUCUCUCUCUCUCUCACACACACACACACCGUGAAAGUCAUGUCAUGGCUUCUCUUAUUUUUACUGGGUUACUCUUUCUCUCGGGCACUAGAUGCAAAGGUAGUUAUAUUAAUAAAAAAAGAAAAGAGAGAAGUAAGAAUUGUCAUCGCACUAAAGGAUAACUGAUAUUCAAGGAAUUGAGAAACCUGAAAAAGAUUGUCACUGGGAAACCUUUAAAGGAUGCUGAGAAGAAGCUGGAAAAAGUUGCGGUUGCUGCUUUAAGAGGGAUUUAAUUCCCAAGGCUAUAAUUCAUUGACAAUAAUGGCUGUCCGUGCUUAAACUCCUGGGUUUUGACUUUUUGAUGCCUCAUGAUGAGCAUUCUCCCAUUCCUAAUUUGGACCAUAUACAUCUUGGAUGUCAAGUCAAGCAGGUAAUCAACUACCAACCAAUUAGGCAAAUCAUGUUGGGCCGUUUACAUUUUGUUCUCCUUUGUAUUAUUGUAGUUGGUAGUUCAAAUCAUUAAACCUUCCGGGGAUUUUUUUCCCAACUAGAGAGAUGAAUUCAAGAUCUUAAGAGAACUAAAUUUGCUCCUACCUAGAUUCUGCCGAAACCUGGGAGUCAAAAGCAUAUAUGUAGUGGCAAAAUUGUGUAAGAAAUCUUCCCAAAUCUUUCUAAAGUGGCACUUGUUUGGUUCUUGUACCAUUGCAUAAUGAUCAUAGCUGUACCUUGCAAUUGAUUCAUUUAUUUUACUUCUUCUAAAGUCAAAACUCGUGAGCUCGAGGGUGCUUCCUCCUGUCUUAUACCCUAGUCAAACCAUAAUCGAUUCUCCAGAGAAGUGGUUCUUGGAUGGCAGAGAUAUGAG